ACGCACGCUGGCGGCGUGCUUAACACAUGCAAGUCGAACGGAAAGGCCCUGCUUGCAGGGUACUCGAGUGGCGAACGGGUGAGUAACACGUGGGUGAUCUGCCCUGCACUUCGGGAUAAGCCUGGGAAACUGGGUCUAAUACCGGAUAGGAGCCAUUUUUAGUGUGAUGGUUGGAAAGUUUUUUCGGUGUAGGAUGAGCUCGCGGCCUAUCAGCUUGUUGGUGGGGUAAUGGCCUACCAAGGCGGCGACGGGUAGCCGGCCUGAGAGGGUGGACGGCCACAGUGGGACUGAGAUACGGCCCAGACUCCUACGGGAGGCAGCAGUGGGGAAUAUUGCACAAUGGGCGCAAGCCUGAUGCAGCGACGCCGCGUGGGGGAUGACGGCCUUCGGGUUGUAAACUCCUUUCGCUAGGGACGAAGCUUUUUGUGACGGUACCUAGAUAAGAAGCACCGGCUAACUACGUG
rnacentral:rRNA from 1 species